UGCCUACUGAGCUGAUAUCAGU
rnacentral:ncRNA from 4 species